GACGAACGCUGGCGGCGUGCUUAAUACAUGCAAGUCGAACGGGGAAAGCUUUCGGGUGAGUACUAGUGGCGCACGGGUGAGGAACGCGUGGAUAAUCUGCCUUAGAGUGGGGGAUAACUAGUCGAAAGAUUAGCUAAUACCGCAUAAGACCACAGGAGCUGCGGCUCAAGGGGUCAAAGGUUUUUCGCUCUAAGAUGAGUCCGCGUAAGAUUAGCUAGUUGGUGAGGUAACGGCUCACCAAGGCGACGAUCUUUAACUGGUCUGAGAGGAUGAUCAGUCACACUGGAACUGAGACACGGUCCAGACUCCUACGGGAGGCAGCAGUAGGGAAUAUUGCACAAUGGAGGAAACUCUGAUGCAGCGACGCCGCGUGAGUGAUGAAGGCCUUCGGGUCGUAAAGCUCUGUCGCAGGGGAAUAACACAAUGAAUGUACCCUGUAAGAAAGGAUCGGCUAACUUCGUGCCAGCCGCCGCGGUAAUAC
rnacentral:rRNA from 1 species